rnacentral:lncRNA from 1 species
UUUUUUUGUUGUUGACAAUUUUAAAAAAUCUUAUUUCCUUUCAAUAAAAUUCUUUAAACUUGAAAAGUUGAUGUUGUUGUUGGCAAGAAAAUACGUAAGCGCGUGUUAGAAUCAAAGUACAGUUGUAACAGUGUUUUUUUUUUUUUUGAUAAAAUGAAAAAGGAACCAUAUGAUUGAAAACAAACAAAAUGAACAUUGGAAUAUAUAAAUAUAAAAAAGACAUGUGAUAAAAAAUAUAUAUAGAGACAAAGACACACUUAAUGGAUUUUUCCUCUCUUGCAAGUCGUCAUGCACCUGUUUCUAAUUGCAUGCUUACAUAAUUUUUACUUUCUUAAUAUAAAUAAAUCAGAGCUCAAAAAAUCAGAUUCAAAUAUCAAAAACUUUGGAUACA